CAGAUUUGAAGAGAGUCAAUAGUGCUUGAAAUUUGUCGGGAGGGAAGCGGAUGGGGGCCGGCGAUGUGCCCCAGUCGGAUGUGGAACGGUGACGAGCCGGUCCGCCAAUCGACUUGGGGCAUGGACCGAUGCGGAUUGAGACGGCGGCCUACGCCCAGGCCUUUGUUACGCCCGUGGAGACGUCGUCGUCCCGAUCGUGGCUGGCAGCGCGCGCCUUAUGGCGGGCUUCGGCAUCUGCGCGCUCCUGGCAUCGGCCUUUGGGCUCCCCAUUCGACCCGUCUUGAAACACGGAACAAGGAGUCUAAGAUAGUUGGAUGGUCUGAGCAGCUGUAAAGCAGGGGAGAGGAAGGUACCCAGUUGCAGCUUGCUGUAACUGGCAUUAUAGCCUCGAACCUGUAGCUGGUUCAGUCGUACCAACUAGGUAAAUUUCCCCACAUAGUGGGGUCUUAAACGAGAAACUUGAUUCA
rnacentral:rRNA from 1 species